CAUUACUCUUUUUGAUCAUAACUUCCUUUCCAUUUAGCUCACUCACUAAGCUUUAUUUUGUGGUACUGGAGUUGGACGGUAGAAGGGCUUUGCGUGGUACUGGAGUUGGAUGGUAGAAGGGCUUUGCAGUUGUUGAAAUAUAAUUUUGGAUCAUUUAUCUGGAUACAUUUCUCCUGCUAAAAAGUGACUAAAAAUGUGAGAGUGAAGUUGGUUUAUUUAUAGAAACAGCACCACAAAUAGAUGGUAGAAAUGAAGUAUGUCAUCCCAAGACAUGAACUGAGUCUGUACAGGAACAGACUAUUUUUAUGCUAUAAUACUUAAAGGUAACAUGACUUUCUACUGAGAUGUAAAGGAUAGAUUUCAUGGUUCCAAAAGUGAUAACAUACAGCGAUCUUGCCGGCAUUUAUAACCAGAAUUGCUUAUUUUGUGGUUAAGCCAGUGGGAGGAAAGUAAGAGCACCAAGAAAAGAGGCCGUUUGGGUGUGACAGUGAGAAGUUUCAUAAACAACAGAGGAGGGAAAGAUUGAUUGCCAAAGGCUGACAGUAAUGUGGACCUGAACUUGGCACUCAGGGGAGAGCUCUGUGUCAGUGUUACAGUUGGCUCUGGUCAUUCACUGGCUGCCUGGAAACAGCACAGUUUGUACAUUCCAUGGCAAGUCUCCAGAAAGGCAGAGAACACUACUAGGGAGUGGAGGUUUGUGGUGAACUCAUGGAGCCUUUCUCUUUCACAUUCUGGUCUCCUCUAGAGGUCGAUUCAUGAAGUCCUGAAUAGCCUCAUGCAAAGGAAGCCAUUUUUUGAUAGAUGCCUUCAGAGCUGUAAUCCAGCUACAUUGAAACAAAGAGCCACAUUGCAUUAAACAUGGAAGACUAUGGAAAUGUCAAUGUGACAAAAAUCCUUUCAUUUAAUUUCUAAUAGAGUCUCUGGGUUAUUAGUUUGAAAUUAAGAGUAUAAAGCAUGCUCAGAUUAUGUAUUGAAUAAGAAAGUAAAAUAGCAUAUGUGGGAUUCGUACUGGUAAUGAUUAAAUUUGUUCAUGUAAACAACAAGAUCUAAAAUUAAUAUGAUGCUUGUAAAUACUGAUUAAUGAAGUUAUAAAGUUUUAAAAUUAUUAAUAUUUUAUUGUUUCUGCUUGACAUUAAAGUUUAUUUGAUCACA